GACGGAGGGUGCAAACGUUGUUCGGAAUCACUGGGCGUAAAGGGUGCGCAGGUGGUUGUGUGUGUCAGAUGUGAAAUCCCGGAGCUUAACUCCGGAACUGCGUCUGAAACUGCACGACUAGAGCAUUGGAGAGGGUAGUGGAAUUCACGGUGUAGCAGUGAAAUGCGUAGAUAUCGUGAGGAACACCAGAGGCGAAGGCGACUACCUGGACAAUUGCUGACACUCAGGCACGAAAGCAUGGGGAGCAAAAGGG
rnacentral:rRNA from 1 species